rnacentral:rRNA from 1 species
GUUACAGAUGUGAAAGACCCGGGGCCGUCAACCUCCGGAAUAGCAUUUGAAACUAGGCAGACUAGAGUACUGUAGAGGGGGGUAGGAAUUUCAGGUGUAGCGGUGAAAUAGCGUAGAGAUCUGAAGGAAUACCGGUGGCGAAGGCGGCCCCCUCGGACAGAUACUGACACUCAGAUGCGAAAGCGUGGGGAGCAAACAGGAUUAGAUACCCCUGGUAG